CGUCUGAACAGAUGCCAGUGUACCCAAAUUCUGAGACAUAACUGGAUGUCCUUUUCUUCUGUUUUUAAGAUUUCCAAUUCGAGAUGAUGUGCAGUUCAUGUUAGAUUUGCUAUUUCUACAGUUACAGUGAUGUAGAAGAGUCCGGUCGUGUUAUGGGGCAUCAGUUAAAGAAGAAGGACAGAGAGAUGUGUGCCCUGUUGAAGUAGUGGAUGGCCGCCUGCCCAGCACUUCUACAAUCCUCCAUCUCAAUCUCUGCUCUGAUGUUUUGUGCCUUUGCCAAGUGAUCACGAGUUUAUUGCAAUGGUGCCCCCCAGCGUCUCCACCGUCUGUUACAUCAACUCCAACUGCCUGUGAUAGAAGAAAAGUUCAUAAGACGUCCUAAAAUGGAAUUGUGAUUGGAGUGAGACAGCCACAAUUAUGUCUG